rnacentral:rRNA from 1 species
UACGUAGGCAGCGAGCGUUGUUCGGAGUUACUGGGCGUAAAGAGUGCGUAGGCGGUUUUCUAAGUUUGGUGUGAAAUCUCCCGGCUUAACUGGGAGGGUGCGCCGAAAACUGGAAGGCUUGAGUAUGGGAGAGGUAAGCGGAAUUCCUGGUGUAGCGGUGAAAUGCGCAGAUAUCAGGAGGAACACCGAUGGCGAAGGCAGGUCUCUGGGCAUUAACUGACGCUGAGGAGCGAAAGCAUGGGGAGCGAACAGG